UGGUGGUGGAGAUGAUGAUGGUGGAGGUGGUGGUGGGGUUGAUGAUGAUGGUGGAGGUGGUGGUGGGGUUGAUGAUGAUGGUGGAGGUGGUGGUGGGGUUGAUGAUGAUGGUGUUUAUUGAGGUGGUGAUGGGGUUGAUGAUGAUGGUGGAGGUGGUGGUGGGGUUGAUGAUGAUGGUGUUUAUUGAGGUGGUGGCGAUGGUGAUAUGGGGGAGGCGGUGGAGGUGGAGGUUGUGGUGGUGGUGGUGGUGAACGGAGAGGGUGGAGGCAGUGGUGCGGGGGCAGAAGAGCUGGGGCUGAG
ensembl:lncRNA